GAUGAACGCUGGCGGCGUGCCUAAUACAUGCAAGUCGAGCGAACAGACGAGGAGCUUACUCCUCUGACGUUAGCGGCGGACGGGUGAGUAACACGUGGAUAACCUACCUAUAAGACUGGGAUAACUUCGGGAAACCGGAGCUAAUACCGGAUAACAUGUUGAACCGCAUGGUUCAACAGUGAAAGACGGUCUUGCUGUCACUUAUAGAUGGAUCCGCGUCGCAUUAGCUAGUUGGUAAGGUAACGGCUUACCAAGGCAACGAUGCGUAGCCGACCUGAGAGGGUGAUCGGCCACACUGGAACUGAGACACGGUCCAGACUCCUACGGGAGGCAGCAGUAGGGAAUCUUCCGCAAUGGGCGAAAGCCUAACGGAGCAACGCCGCGUGAGUGAAGAAGGUCUUCGGAUCGUAAAACUCUGUUAUUAGGGAAGAACAAAUGUGUAAGUAACUAUGCACGUCUUGACGGUACCUAAUCAGAAAGCCACGGCUAACUACGUG
rnacentral:rRNA from 1 species